rnacentral:rRNA from 1 species
AUUGAACGCUGGCGGCAUGCCUUACACAUGCAAAUCGAACGGUAACGGGCCUUCGGGUGCCGACGAGUGGCGAACGGGUGAGUAAUGCAUCGGAACGUGCCCGAUCGUGGGGGAUAACGAGGCGAAAGCUUUGCUAAUACCGCAUACGAUCUACGGAUGAAAGCAGGGGACCGCAAGGCCUUGCGCGGACGGAGCGGCCGAUGGCAGAUUAGGUAGUUGGUGGGAUAAAAGCUUACCAAGCCGACGAUCUGUAGCUGGUCUGAGAGGAUGAUCAGCCACACUGGGACUGAGACACGGCCCAGACUCCUACGGGAGGCAGCAGUGGGGAAUUUUGGACAAUGGGCGCAAGCCUGAUCCAGCCAUGCCGCGUGCAGGAUGAAGGCCUUCGGGUUGUAAACUGAUUUUGUACGGAACGAAAAGCCUUCUUUUAAUACAGGAGGGUCAUGACGGUACCGUAAGAAUAAGCACCGGCUAACUACGUG